rnacentral:rRNA from 1 species
UACGAAGGGUGCAAGCGUUACUCGGAAUUACUGGGCGUAAAGCGCGCGUAGGCGGCUUUGCAAGUCGGGUGUGAAAUCCCCAGGCUUAACCUGGGAACUGCAUUCGAGACUGCAUUGCUAGAGUAUGGGAGAGGGAAGUGGAAUUUCCGGUGUAGCGGUGAAAUGCGUAGAUAUCAAGCAGAACACCUGCGGCGAAGGCGGCCUUCUGGACGAUGACUGACGCUGAGACACGAAAGCGUGGGGAGCAAACAGG